GAUCCGUGGCUCAGGACGACGCUGGCGGCGUGCUUAACACAUGCAAGUCGAACGAGGUUGGUGGAGAGCUUGCUCGAGAUCAACCGAGUGGCGGACGGGUGAGUAACGCGUGAACAAUCUGUCUCACACAGGGGGAUAACGCAUCGAAAGAUGUGCUAAUACCGCGUAGGACCACGAUGGGGCAUCCCGUUGAGGUGAAAGGAGCAAUCCGGUGUGAGGUGAGUUCGCGUCUGAUUAGAUAGUUGGUGAGGUAACGGCUCACCAAGUCAACGAUCAGUAGCCGACCUGAGAGGGUGAUCGGCCACAUUGGGACUGAGACACGGCCCAGACUCCUACGGGAGGCAGCAGUGGGGAAUAUUGGGCAAUGGGCGAAAGCCUGACCCAGCAACGCCGCGUGAAGGAAGAAGGUUUUCGGAUCGUAAACUUCUGUCCUUGGUGAAGAGGAGAAGACGGUAGCCAAGGAGGAAGCCCCGGCUAACUACGUGCC
rnacentral:rRNA from 1 species